rnacentral:rRNA from 1 species
GAUUAACGCUGGCGGCGUGCAUAACACAUGCAAGUCGAACGAUGAAACUUUAAUGACCCCUUCGGGGAGAAUUAAAGCGGAUUAGUGGCGAACGGGUGAGUAACGCGUGAGUAACCUGCCUUACACAAGGGGAUAGCCUUUGGAAACGAAGAAUAAUACCCUAUAACACCAUAAAAGCACAUGCAAUUAUGGUCAAAGUGAUAGCGGUGUAAGAUGGACUUGCGUCUGAUUAGCUAGUUGGUGAGAUAAAAGCCCACCAAGGCAACGAUCAGUAGCCGGCUUGAGAGAGUGUACGGCCACAUUGGGACUGAGACACGGCCCAGACUCCUACGGGAGGCAGCAGUGGGGAAUUUUGCACAAUGGGGGAAACCCUGAUGCAGCGACGCCGCGUGAUUUAGAAGGCCUUCGGGUUGUAAAAAUCUUUUGUAUAGGAAGAAAAUGACAGUACUAUACGAAUAAGGUCCGGCUAAUUACGUG